UAGCCUUGUGAAGUUUGCCGUUUUUCAGUCAUUUUGUAUUACAAACGGGAAAUUGACAGAACCAAAGGGUAUUGGUCUGUCAAUUUCCUCUGCGUAAUGCAAAAUGACUGAAAAUUGCAAACUUCGCAAGGCUA
rnacentral:miRNA from 1 species